rnacentral:rRNA from 1 species
CGGAACUAACAGAUUUACUUCGGUAAUGACGUUAGGAAAGCGAGCGGCGGAUGGGUGAGUAACACGUGGGGAACCUGCCCCAUAGUCUGGGAUACCACUUGGAAACAGGUGCUAAUACCGGAUAAGAAAGCAGAUCGCAUGAUCAGCUUUUAAAAGGCGGCGUAAGCUGUCGCUAUGGGAUGGCCCCGUGGUGCAUUAGCUAGUUGGUAAGGUAAAGGCUUACCAAGGCGAUGAUGCAUAGCCGAGUUGAGAGACUGAUCGGCCACAUUGGGACUGAGACACGGCCCAAACUCCUACGGGAGGCAGCAGUAGGGAAUCUUCCACAAUGGACGCAAGUCUGAUGGAGCAACGCCGCGUGAGUGAAGAAGGUUUUCGGAUCGUAAAGCUCUGUUGUUGGUGAAGAAGGAUAGAGGUAGUAACUGGCCUUUAUUUGACGGUAAUCAACCAGAAAGUCACGGCUAACUACGUGCCAGCAGCCGCGGUAAUACGUAGGUGGCAAGCGUUGUCCGGAUUUAUUGGGCGUAAAGCGAGCGCAGGCGGAAGAAUAAGUCUGAUGUGAAAGCCCUCGGCUUAACCGAGGAACUGCAUCGGAAACUGUUUUUCUUGAGUGCAGAAGAGGAGAGUGGAACUCCAUGUGUAGCGGUGGAAUGCGUAGAUAUAUGGAAGAACACCAGUGGCGAAGGCGGCU